UCUGUGAUGUUAAUUUGGGGGUUUCCUUGAAGUGAAAGUUCAUGGUUUUGUUUUUAUUUCUGGAUUUCUCACAAGAUUAUUACUUUUUAGGCUUGGAUUUACUGUAGAAGAGAAAAGGAUGGAGGGAGAAUAAUGGAUUUAAAUGCACUGGCCCAGCUUUCUGCUUUGGUAGUCGCGGUUUUAAAUGCUCAUGCAGGCCCUCUUGCCCUCUUAAAUCCUACCCCAGACAUUCUCACCUCUCCCUCACACCUUGCUAGCCAUCUUCCAAGGAAACAAAAAACCUCCCUCUCUUCCUCUCUGGUCAUUUUGAUCUCUUGUUAUCUUGAUGGAACUCUCCCAUUUCUCUUGACAAGGCAAAGAAGGGAUUGUUUACCGUGUUGAAAUCAUGUGGAAGAGUGACUAUGAUAUUGGCCUGGUUCACUCAGAUCACGACUUCAGAGCAAAGUGUCUUUCUUCUUCUUCUUCUUCUUCUUGUUUUAUGUUCGUUUGAUUUGAUUGAGCCGUGCCAAUAUCUCAGUACUCUUUCAUGUCUCUCCAAGUCGAUCUCCAGAAACACUAUUCCACUAGAACAAUUGAUGGAAAAGAUUCUACGUAUCUUUUCAUCAAUGACAUGAAGCCGAACCAUAUCCCUAGAAGCGUAGCAGGGAACUCUGGUGGGAACUGAAGCAUGCUAGUCCUAUACAAAGUUUAUAUCCUAAAUCACUUUUUGAAAAUAAUUCCCGAAUUAAUAUGAUAAAAUUAGUAUUGUUAUAUACAUAGGUGUUGAUAUUAAUCACAUCUGAUAUAUAUAUAUAUAUGAUCUUACUAUUUUGAAAGAGUGCUAGUUCUUGACUCUCUCUCUCUCUCUCUCUCUCUUCUCUUUUUUUCGUUUUAGUUUUUUUUCAUUGAUCUAAUGAUGCCCCACCUUGAUGAUUUGAAUUAGAAUUUGACAGGAUAAGUCCCAAUCCAACUUUAAGGCAAGUGAGAUGGGAGAUGGUCACUUUUUAGUUAGAUCUCAGAGAGGGUCUCUAGCUAAAAAUGCCUGUAAAAGUCAAAUGGCCUUUAAUAGGAUCCUUUAAUGCAUAGAAUCAUAGACAAAGAAAAGGAGGAAGGAUGCCCCAUAUUGAAUCUCAACUUGAGGUUGCACAAAAAAAUCAUUUUUUCCCUUGAAAGCUAAAACUAGCUCUAGCCGUGACGCAAAUGGAGAGAGCCCUUCCCGUCCACCAGCUAAAUUAAUGCCGUGGAGCUAGGGCAAAGGGCUUGAUGGACGUUCUUGCGUGUUGAGGGAGAUCUCGGGUCACAUAGUAUAUGUCAUUAACAAUCAAACAAGAUUCAACUUGAACUUUCCUGCAUUGUACUAUCUUUUAUUUAGAUCUGUAUAUUCACCAAGAACUUCAAUUUUCAUCAUGUAAAACAUUUUAUCAUUCUAAUUAAUAAUUGCCUUCUCCGACUUUUUAAUUUCAA